CCUACGGGAGGCAGCAGUGGGGAAUAUUGCGCAAUGGACGAAAGUCUGACGCAGCAACGCCGCGUGAGGGAUGACGGCCUUCGGGUUGUAAACCUCUUUCAGCAGGGACGAAGCGAGAGUGACGGUACCUGCAGAAGAAGGACCGGCCAACUACGUGCCAGCAGCCGCGGUAAUACGUAGGGUCCGAGCGUUGUCCGGAAUUAUUGGGCGUAAAGGGCUCGUAGGCGGUUCGUCACGUCGGGAGUGAAAACUCGGAGCUCAACUCCGAGCCUGCUUCCGAUACGGGCAGACUAGAGGUAGGCAGGGGAGAGCGGAACUCCUGGUGUAGCGGUGGAAUGCGCAGAUAUCAGGAAGAACACCGGUGGCGAAGGCGGCUCUCUGGGCCUUACCUGACGCUGAGGAGCGAAAGCGUGGGUAGCGAACAGGAUUAGAUACCCUGGUAGUCCACGCCGUAAACGUUGGGCGCUAGGUGUGGGGGACAUUCCACGUCCUCCGUGCCGCAGCUAACGCAUUAAGCGCCCGCCUGGGGAGUACGGCCGCAAGGCUAAACUCAAAUGAAUUGACGGCUGAGACGNGCGAGCGACACGAGGAGAG
rnacentral:rRNA from 1 species